rnacentral:misc_RNA from 1 species
GUUUUCAUGUAAAUAUAUUUCGAAGAGGACACCAUAAGCUUAGAAAUUCCAAAUUCCUAUUAAAAUGAGGGGGGCUCACCCCUAUUGUUAAGUCUAAUGUGAGUGGAUUGCUUGAUGAACUUUGAAAAAGAAAAGAUACGUGCUUAUGUGUGUUGUUGUGUGUUAUGUGAGAGAAUUUUCAAAUAAAAUGGGUAUUCUUUUUAUUUACAAAACUAUUUCAAAGUGAACUUUUAGUUAAUGAGUAUAAACUGACACUGUAACAAUGUUGAUUAAAACUUACCAGUAUCGGACAAAAAUGAUAUUUAAUGUGCAUGAUGUGCGCAAGUGGGGUAUUAAAUAUAACAUUGAAACAAUUAGAAUUUAAAAAAUGUAAUAUAAUAGCGUGAGAAUUCAUAUAACUUGAUCCUUCUCCACCCCAUCUCACCCCCAAAACACAAAAGUCAUCUAUAGGACACAAGAGCAUGCAUGUUACAAGAAAACACGUUUGUUCCACAAAUAUAUCUAAAUUAUAGUAAUUGCAGAAAGUCCUAUCAGGUAAAAACAACUUUAGCCGGUAUAAAUAAAAGGAAAUUGUAACAUGAAAGGGCAAUUAUUAACUACCUAAACAUCCUGUCAACAU